rnacentral:rRNA from 1 species
AACGAACGCUGGCGGCGUGGAUAAGACAUGCAAGUCGAACGGGACAUUAUUUGUAGCAAUACAGAUGAUGUUCAGUGGCGUAAGGGUGCGUAACACGUGAGCAACCUGCCUUGAAGUGGGGGAUAGCUCGCCGAAAGGCGAAUUAAUACCGCAUGUGGUAGCAAUACUAAAGCCGGGGCAACCUGGCGCUUCUUGAUGGGCUCGCGGCCUAUCAGCUAGUUGGUGAGGUAAAAGCUCACCAAGGCUAUGACGGGUAGCUGGUCUGAGAGGACGACCAGCCACACUGGAACUGAGACACGGUCCAGACACCUACGGGUGGCAGCAGUCGAGAAUUUUUCUCAAUGGGGGAAACCCUGAAGGAGCGACGCCGCGUGGAGGAUGAAGGUCUUCGGAUUGUAAACUCCUGUCAUUGGUGAACAAAGUCACAAGUUAACUGCUUUGUGAUCUGCUAGUAGCCGAAGAGGAAGAGACGGCUAACUCUGUGCCAGCAGCCGCAGUAAAAC